rnacentral:rRNA from 1 species
UACGUAGGGUGCAAGCGUUGUCCGGAAUUAUUGGGCGUAAAGAGCUCUUAGGCGGUUUGUCGCGUCUGCUGUGAAAACUCGGGGCUUAACUCCGGGGCUGCAGUGGGUACGGGCAGACUAGAGUGCGGUAGGGGAGACUGGAAUUCCUGGUGUAGCGGUGAAAUGCGCAGAUAUCAGGAGGAACACCGGUGGCGAAGGCGGGUCUCUGGGCCGUAACUGACGCUGAGGAGCGAAAGCGUGGGGAGCGAACAGG